rnacentral:rRNA from 1 species
GGAGGUCACUGCUAUUGGGAUUCGACUAAGCCAUGCGAGUCGAGAGGGUUCGGCCCUCGGCUGACGGCUCAGUAACACGUGGAUAAUCUGUCCUUAGGUGGAGGGCAAUCUCGGGAAACUGAGAAUAAUACUCCAUAGAUCUAGGAUGCUGGAAUGCACUUAGAUUGAAAGCUCCGGCGCCUAAGGAUGAGUCUGCGGACUAUCAGGUUGUGGUCAGGGUAAUGACCUGACUAGCCUACGACGGAUACGGGUUGUGAGAGCAAUAACCCGGAGACGAUAUCUGAGACACGAUAUCGGGCCCUACGGGGCGCAGCAGGCGCGAAAACUUCACACUGUGCGAAUGCACGAUGAGGGAAUCCCAAGUGCCAACUCGUAAGAGUUGGCUGUUUCUCUGUCUAAAAAAUAGAGAGAGUAAGAGCUGGGUAAGACGGGUGCCAGCCGCCGCGGUAAUACCUGCAGCUCAAGUGGUGGCCACUAUUAUUGGGCCUAAAACGUCCGUAGCCGGUUUAAUAAAUGCCGGGGUAAAUCGUGUAGCUUAACUAUACGAAUUCCGGGUAGACUGUUAGACUUGAGACCGGGAGAAGCUAGAGGUACUCCUAGGGUAGAGGUGAAAUUCUGUAAUCCUAGGGGGACCACCAGUGGCGAAGGCGUCUAGCUAGAACGGGUCUGACGGUGAGGGACGAAGCCCUGGGGCGCAAACCGGAUUAGAUACCCGGGUAGUCCANGGUGUAAACGCUGCUCGCUUGAUGUUAGUUGGGCUCCGA